UCCCUCCAUUUCGUAUUAGCUGU
rnacentral:siRNA from 1 species